GGAAAUGCCAUAGCUCAGUGGUAGAGAGUACCUGCUUUGAUUGAAGAAGGCCCUAGGUUCAAUCCCCAGCAUCUCCA